GGGUUGUGAGGUUAAGCGACUAAGCGUACACGGUGGAUGCCCUGGCAGUCAGAGGCGAUGAAGGACGUGCUAAUCUGCGAUAAGCGUCGGUAAGGUGAUAUGAACCGUUAUAACCGGCGAUUUCCGAAUGGGGAAACCCAGUGUGUUUCGACACACUAUCAUUAACUGAAUCCAUAGGUUAAUGAGGCGAACCGGGGGAACUGAAACAUCUAAGUACCCCGAGGAAAAGAAAUCAACCGAGAUUCCCCCAGUAGCGGCGAGCGAACGGGGAGCAGCCCAGAGUCUGAAUCAGUGUGUGUGUUAGUGGAAGCGUCUGGAAAGGCGCGCGAUACAGGGUGACAGCCCCGUACACAAAAAUGCACAUACUGUGAGCUCGAUGAGUAGGGCGGGACACGUGGUAUCCUGUCUGAAUAUGGGGGGACCAUCCUCCAAGGCUAAAUACUCCUGACUGACCGAUAGUGAACCAGUACCGUGAGGGAAAGGCGAAAAGAACCCCGGCGAGGGGAGUGAAAAAGAACCUGAAACCGUGUACGUACAAGCAGUGGGAGCACGCUUAGGCG
rnacentral:rRNA from 1 species